GUGGAUGUUUCCAGCCUACGCUGGGACUGGGAGCACACAACAAUGUAGCAAUAACAACACAGGGCAGUGACAUGCACUUCACCAGUAGCACAGUACUACUAUUCAGCCAGACUGAAGUCAGGGGUGAUGAAGACGAUGCUGCCUUUGGUGUGCUGGAACUGCGGCGAGGAGGAAACGCUGCCCAUACCAGCAGAGAAGACUGCUGCAUACCAGACAAUAAACCCUGUUUGCCAGGUCUGCAAAAUGUGAUGAAAGAAACAGAACGGG